UACGUAGGGGGCUAGCGUUGUCCGGAAUCAUUGGGCGUAAAGAGCGUGUAGGCGGUCCGGUAAGUCCGCUGUGAAAGUCGGGGGCUCAACCCUCGAAUGCCGGUGGAUACUGUCGGGCUAGAGUGCGGAAGAGGCGAGUGGAAUUCCUGGUGUAGCGGUGAAAUGCGCAGAUAUCAGGAGGAACACCUGUGGCGAAAGCGGCGCACUGGACCACAACUGACGCUGAGGCGCGAAAGCUAGGGGAGCAAACAGG
rnacentral:rRNA from 1 species